GCAGACACAUUCCAGCCAAUCAGCAGCAGACCCUCCCUCCAAGACCCUCCCACCUCCUGGACAGCAUCCAUUUUACAUUCAUUGUUUAGCUGCAUUCUUAGUGAGCUGUCCAGGAGGUGGGAGGGUCUGGGAGGGAGGGUCUGCUGCUGAUUGGCUGGAAUGUGUCUG
rnacentral:miRNA from 1 species